rnacentral:tRNA from 1 species
GGGGGUAUAGCUCAGUGGUAGAGCAUUUGACUGCAAAACCAAUAACUGCACCCCCC